rnacentral:misc_RNA from 1 species
CGAGGGUGCUACUGGGGGGCAGCCGUGUACGCCCGCAUCGACGCAGCACGCGAACUGAGCUGGCGAGCGCUUCGUGUGCAGAGGAAGUCAAGCUCCCCAGCUGCCGAGAGCGUCUGGGCACGGGCAAACAGCACAGGAAGCACAAGCGCGCAUACAUACACAUACACACACAAAGUCAAACCAUUCUUUGACUCUUGCCUCGAAUCGCCGCUGCAUAGAUGGAGCCCAGCGCACAGGACACAGGGGGGAGCAUGUUGAAAAGCGAGUCGAACCCUAUCGUGGCUACAUCACCGCCUAGGUCGCACUGGCUUACCUCCAGUUCCGCCUCUGCAACGCCAAGGGCGUCACCAAUGCUGCAGCAAGAGGAGGAGAAUUCGCAGUUGAAUGCAACAAGUGAAAAGCUGACCGCGCAGCAUCUGACACCACCUACAGGCCCCCGCGCACGUCGCCAUCACAGUCGAGAAAGCAGCAGUGCUGAAUCACGUGACUAUGCCGAUGAACUGGCUAGCAGCGCCUUUCAAGACUGCCGCAGCGGCGCACUGGUGCUCACAACGUACUCGGCGCAGCAGCUGGCCUGCUACACGGAUGCCAUAUCGUCCACGGCGAGGGGCACAAGCGCUGGGUCGCCUGACAUGCCGCGAAUGCGCACCUUUCAUCGCGCCGAUAGCGACGAUAAUGAUGGCAGCGAGGAUCGCUCUGGCCACGAAGCCGAAACAGCAGAUGACCCUGGUGACGCUACGAGUGAUCCUGCUAUCGAGCAAGACGCUACAAUUGAAGCAAUCGUACCUGUCGUCGACGAUGACCCGGCAGUGCUGCCGCACGAAGCGCAUGAGGAGGCGCAGGAGGUGGUGCGCGCUCGCCAGGGCACGGAUGCGGUCUCUGAGGGCACCUCGUCGGACACCCCGGAGGGUGUGUGGGCGGCCCGCCACGAGAAGGAACGGCGGUCGGAGGGGCAACCGUCGAUUGCGAGCAGCGACCUCAGCAUCGGAGGUGCCAAGUCAGCAAUACUGUCAUCUGCGGCUUCUUCUUCGGCAGUCUCGCGGCAUGCUGACUCAAGAGAGUGGGCUGCAACACGCAAGACGGCGCUGGAGCGACUGCGCGCGAACUUUGAUCACCCAUCCAGGACCGUCGCCUCCCUCGCCCCUCAGCGUCGAUCAUCGAGCCUGCUCGCGCAACGUGAACCCGGGAAGGCUCACGUGCUGCGCUUCCCGUCAGAUGCGGUGAUCAGUCGUGAGCGCGCCUUGCAGCCGUCUGACUCUUUCGAGGAUCUUUCAAAGGUGCCCCUUUCCGGCGAGAGGGCAAUGCCGUCGGAGACGAGAGGCCCUCCCCGUGCCGAGGGUAAGACAGCGGCGAGCAUCCUUGGCGAGCUUCUCGGUGAUUCCUGGAUCGGCGACGCCGCCGUCGUAGGCCAGCUGUCACGAUCACAAAAGGAGCCGGCAGCCUAUGGCAGCUUGAACGAGGGUGAGAGUCAUGCAUCGCUCAGCGAGAAGGUUGCCACGCCGGUGAAACCAGCAGCAGGAUCAGCGGCAACGCCGGUGGCGACACAAAGUCUGAGCGGCAGCCGCUUCAUCGUUCGCCCUGCGCUGAGCACCGAUGUGAGUGGUAUCAGCCCCAUUAAGAAAGACGUGCCAUCGAUUCUGGCAGACCUGUACGGCACACCGGACACUAGGCCGCCGGCAGUGGCGAUGCUGCAAACCCCUCCUGCUAGCUGGGCCACGACGACAUCCCCUCCGUACGCACUCGGGAGGUGGAGUUUGCAAGGCGCUCUGGAGGCGAUGCACGAACUAUCCGCCGAUGUGGCCACGGUGGACUUUCACACCGCGCAAACGGCGCCGUCCGCUGUCUCUGCGUCCGCAGAAGAGACCCGCGUUUGCGAUCACGUGACCGUCGACGACACCGCCACCACCGAGGCCUCUGCAAGUGAGUGCCAGCACCCGCCUCAGAGCCUUUGCGCGAAUCGAGUCGAUCGCGCACCGCUUUUCGGUCAGCGGCUCGUGCGCUCUGGCGUCGUUCUCCUUCCCGACGACGGCGGUGGUGCCAGCUCAGGUUUCCAAUCGGAUGCGAAGGUGCCUCUGCCCACAGAGAGCGCGCCGAGAUCCCGGGACUUGUCACGGGUGAACAGGUGGCGCUGCUCGGAGCGCCAGUCCCUGGCGCACGCGGAGCAUUCCGUGGCGGAGGCGUCGGCGACCACACCUCCGCACGAGAACACGGCGCUGCCGCGGCCUGCGGAAUGGCGGCAGCAGCGCGUCAAGGAGGAGCUGCGGGCCAAGGAGAUGGCCGAGUGCACCUUCCAACCGCUUCUCUCGCCUGGCACGCGGGCCAUGGUGCGACUUGCGCAGGAGCGGGAGUUGGAGAGAACGCUACAGGAAGAGGAGGACGGAGCAGAGGCGCAGGCUGCCGGAACGCGCCCCAGGUUGGCGCGACCCGACUCCCAGCAGCCAUCUCUAGACGCUUCCACACUGAAAGCAACCCUACAGUCUGUGUACAAGCGUCUUUAUCCAGCGGAGCUGUCGGCGGCGGCGUCACGUCGGCGAAUCCUUGACCAGGAGAUGGAGUACCGCCGUCUCGCGCGGGAGGAGCUGAUUCUACUGCGACAUCGCUGCGGCGUUGAUCGACGCGCGCCUCGCUGCGCCCGCGGUGGCGGCGCGGCCCGCUCACGCGAGACAUUCAGCUCUUUCAUGAGCACCAUCUUGCAGACAGACUGGGAGGAAGCCACUGCAGCGAUAGCUUUACCACGGUUGGUUGCCGCGUCGUCAUCGCCCACUCAGUCACGCAUGAAAGGCAGCGCUGUGGCACCGGUGGCCGUAGUGCAGACAUCAUACAUGUCGCCAAUGGCCGUGGCGCUCUUGGAGGAGAAGAAGGCCAAGCGCAAGUACAACUCCAGGCGCCAAGCAGAAAUGCACGGGCAACAUGCUGAAGCGGGCGAUGCAGAGGUGGGGGGCGGGGUUGGUCGCCGUGGCACAGCGCAGUCGCCGGCAGACAGCGGAGAGGCCACGCGCGCCGAGGAGAGCUUCCGCGUCGCCCUCUUUGAUGAAUUCCUUCUACGGCAGAAUGCGUACUAUUUUAACCGUUCGCGAACGGUGCGGGAACUGGAGAAGCAGAUGGCCCCCGUCUUCACCCCCAGGACAACAAAUGCAAGCGCGCGGCUCGUGCAGAACAUGGUGUCGAGGUCGCUCUUAAACGAGUCCAUGGGCCCAGAGAUGUCCUCUAUUGUGGCACAGCGGGAGCGGCAGCGCGUUCCAUUCACGUCGCUUUUUGUGAAGCAGCAUGCCUCGCCGUACGUUGACCCGUGCACCUUCAAACCAAAUAUAUCACCGGCGGCGCGCGCAGCCAGGGAGGAGGAUCGCCGUCGCCAGCGCGCAAACAGGCAGGCCCCGGCAGUGCAGCAGCAGAGCUUCUUCGAGCGGCUUUACGCUGAUGAGCAGCGCAGGGCGAAGCACCGCGAGGAGGCCAAAAAGCGCGCGGAGGCGAAGGAGGUGGAGGGGCUGACGUUUCAGCCAACGCUCAAUGUGAAGUGCAACGCCCGCGUCCACUCUAUGCUGAACCCUCGCAACUACCAGCCGUACCAGGCCUACCUGCUCGAGAAGCGUCAGUUGCUCGAGGCCAAACGCAAGGAGCAGGCGGAGGAGGCCCAGCAGGCUGAGGAAGACGUGUGCACCUUCCGUCCGCAGACUACAAAGAAGCCGGCGUACAUUGCUAAAAUGGCGAAGUGCUUCGGCGUGCUGCGACAGCAGGAUGCUGAGUUUUAACUCAGUGCUGACCCUCGCAAGGGGGGCAGGGAAACCGACGCACGCAGCAGAGGGGCAAGGUAGGGCCUGCCGCAACGGACGGGACGAAGUGCUUUGCCUUCCUACCUGAUCCGUGUGCAGCGCGCAUCUGUGCCUCCGUGGAUUCGCACGUCGUCGAUUUCACCAUAGAAGGCGGAGUGUGUGCGGGAGUGUAGACUUACUCUCAUAGACGUUGCAGACGGCUGAGGAAGAAUCAGACAGAGAACGAGACAGAGGGUUAUUCCUCUGGCAGGGGCCCACGCGGCGCACUACACGACACCUCUCCGUCAUUCUCUCAUUCUCUCUCUCUGUGCUUUUUUUUUAAUCUGUGUGUGUGUGUGUGUGCGUCAGUGUUGACUGCGUCGGCAGCCAGCAUGCGUUUCAGUUCAUGUGCGUCUGCCUGUUCCUGCUCACUGUCGUUUAUCAGGAAGUGAGGCGACGAGAGAGAGAGCCACCGAAACCGGCUUUCUCUUGUCGCCUCUCUUCACCUCCUCGCACACACCAUGACCUGUCGCUCCACAUUGUGCAGGUUUCGUUGGCGGCCCUCUGCACUGCGCCAAUGGACACCAUCAGGAGGAAACCUGGUCCCGGCGGGCGACAAGCGCGAAAUGAAAAGUGCUUCAGCGCUAUAG